rnacentral:rRNA from 1 species
UAUAGAAUUUCAGGAGAAAAAAUAAAAUUUGUAGAUAUCUGAAGGAAUGCCAAAGGCGAAAGCAAUAAUCACUACUUUACUGACGUUGACACACGAAAGUAUAGGUAUCAAACAGGAUUAGAUACCCUGGUAGUCUAUACUGUAAACUAUAAAUAUUCGUUUUGAAAUUAAAAAAAUUUUGAAACCAAACUAACGUGUUAAAUAUUUUGCCUGAGAAGUACACCGGCAACGUUGAAACUCAAAGGAAUUGACGGGGAUUUAUAACAUUGGUGGACUAUGUGGUUUAAUUCGUCAAUACACGCAAAACCUUACCAAUUCUUGAAUAAUUAUAAAAUUAAAGCAAAAUGUUAAUUUUAAUAUAAUUACAGGUGCUGCAUGGUUGUCGUCAGUUCGUAUUGUGAAAUGUCUGGUUUAUUCCUGUAACGAGCGAAACCCUAUUUCUUUAUUACAAAUUUGUGA